rnacentral:lncRNA from 1 species
GAUAAGAUGGAGAGAUGCCAACGAUCAAACGUGAACUCGUGAAAGCGAUUAGAGAAUCGAGGGUCUUGAUGGUUUUGCUCUCGAAAAACUACGCUUCUUCGAGCUGGUGUUUGGACGAACUGGUGGAAAUCUUGAAGUGCAGAAAAGAUAAGGAACAGAUUGUGAUGCCUAUUUUCUACGACCUUGAUCCGUUCCAUGUACGCACACAGAGCGGUGACUUCGGAAGCGCGUUCGAGAAAACCUGCGAAAACCAAACAGAGGAAGUGAAGCAGAGAUGGGUCGAAGCUUUGAAAUGUGUAACGACCAUAGCUGGAGAACAUUCUCGUAACUGGUUUGUUUUAACCUGCAUAACUUCUUUCGUGAUUCAACCAUAGCUGGAGUUUCUAUAAUUUAUUAAGAUUUUGUUUUUUUUUUCAGGACUGAUGAUGCUGAGAUGGUCCAAAAGCUUUGCACAGAAGUCUCGAACAAACUGAAAGUGGAAGAGUCUAAGGAAGAAUUUAGGAAGUACGAUGUAGACAAUAAUGGUUUCAUAACUGCAGCAGAGCUUCCACGAUGUGUGUUGAUAAAAGAUGGAGAAGAAUCUACUGAUAAGCAAGUUCGUAGUAUCAUCCGAGUAGUUGAUAUUGAUGGCGAUGGUCAGAUCAACUUUGAUGAAUUUGUCGAACUCAUGGCUCUUAGGUAAGGGAUUCUUGAAAGCCUUAACCUCAAAGAAACAAAAAGAAAAACGAUUUAUGAUGUCUUACAGUGAAAUCUUAUCAUAUGAUUUAGAACGCUUUUGUCUCUCUUAAUCAAUGAUUCAAUAGUGGAGUUUCUAUAGUCUAAUAACAUUCUGUUUUUUUUUUUUUUUUCUUAGGAUGACUGAUAAGAAGCUUUACACGGACCAAGUGAAAGCGGAAAUGAUGAAGGAAGGCUUUAGGGAAUGCGAUGUAGACCAGAAUGGUUACAUAACUGCACCAGAGCUUCGAUAUGUGCUGACAAAAGAUGGGGAGGAAUUUACCGAUAAGCAAGUUCGUAAGAUCAUCCGAAAAGCUGAUGUUAAUGGCGGUGAUCAGCUCAACUGUGAUGAAUUCUUCAAAUUCAUGAAUCUCAUGAUGGAUGCGUAAGGGAUUCUUAAGCCUUAACCUCAUGGAUAAAAAAAAAGGAUUUAUGAAUUAUGAUGUCUUACAGUGAAAAUAUUUUAACGCCUUUUUGUUUCUUAAUCUAAUCUAUAAGAUUCUGUUUUUUUUUUCUUUUGUUAGAAAGAGGAUGACUGAUGAAAGAGCUGCGAGAGUCGAAAAGAUUGCCUCAUAUGUAUCGAACAAACUGGAUAAAUUCGCCAUAUAUAUUCAUGAUAAAAGCCUUCUCCUGAAGAAGAAAAGAAAAACGAUUUAUGAAUGUCUUACAGUGUGAAUUUUCAUCAUGAUAUGAUCCUGAUUGUCUUCUUUAGGACAUGUUUUUUUUACUUCUUUCCACCUUCGAUUUGGUUGCUUUGUUAAUCUCUUUAAUUAGUGUUAUGUCAAGUAUGAUGAACUCAUGUUUUGCUCCUCCUAGUGACAAUUGAUUUUAUCUCUUUUUUUUGUUUUUCCUAUUUAGAUAUGAGAGAUUGUAUUGGGAUAUUCAUAUGCUCAAAGUUUAAUUCCUAGAGCUACUCUGCAAGAGCACAGAUGUGCAAUUGUAGUAUAAUAGGGGUAGAACCACAGAGACAAGAGAUUCGCUCAAUAAACCUAUUAGAAAUUGAAUUACGCUAAGCAGAUUAAUGAGAAGCAAAUAGCAAUGCAAAUAAAGAUAAACGAAUGCAGUAAAAACGUUUGUAAAGUUCAGAUGGAUGGAGAUUAGGCUUAGGGCGUUUCUCAUGAAAUCAAUGCAUGCAGAUCAAUCGAUAAAUCAGGGUUCAGGUUUAAGCAUGGUUCUUGAACUCGAAUCACAGAAUUAUAAUUAACCAACUUCCAUUGUGAGAAUUAUCUAAGUUAAAAUCCUAGAAUUCCAAAUUCCUUUGCAAACCCUAAAGAUUUAAACCAGCUUUAAUGCUCAAGUUCGAUAUGUUCACAAAGUAUCUAAACCAAAUUCCUUUGCGAAUAGCUACUUUGCUCACCCUAGGUUCUUUCCAGUUACUCAAUUACACUUCCGUGUCAAUCAAUUAACCUAAGAUUUAAGUUCUAGGUGGCCAGUCCAGAAUUAGCUUUAAGAACAACCUAUGGUGAAGAACUAAAUAGAUUAUGAACCCUAAUUAAUCAAUCAAUCCAACAUCCAAUGAAAUCCUUUAUGAGAACCCUAAACCUAACAAGCAAACUACUCAGACAUGGAGAUUGAAGCAAUAAACAUGAUUGAAUAGCUUGCAGAAAAGAAAUAAUAGAUAAAUAAACAGGGGUUCGAAAUCUUCUCUAUCCCCAAAAGCUCUCAAAAACAAAAGUUCUCUCUCAGAAAAUCUAAGGUAAUCGUAAAAAGGGAAUAAAAACCCUAUAUAUAUCUCUAAGACACGUUUUGGGCUUCCUUGGAAACGUUUAGGCCCAACUCCUUCUUCAAAUAGGAAACAAAAUCGCCUUUUCCUUAUUUUUUGACAAGUGUCGCGCGUCACUCUCCAUGGUGUCGAGCGUCACUAAAGAACAAAAUCCAUUCUUGACGAAUUUGAUCCUGAUUAAGCUCCAAAGUGCUCCAAAGUCUCCAGUUAAGCUCCAAACGUACCUAUGACCUGAAAAGAUCCCAAAAGACUCGAAAGACACUAAAAAGACUCUAUAAAUAAGACAUAUACCAUGGUCAAAAACCAUAAAAACCAUGAUAUAUCAACUCCCCCAGACUUAGCAUUUGCUUGCCCUCAAGCAAACAUAACACCAAACAAGAGAAAGAAGUUUGAAAACACAGAGACUCAACCUUUCAUUGGAACAUCGCCCUUGACCAAUUGCCUGCAACUCAACUACUGCUUCAUCAUUCCAAAUCGAACCACCAUGUACUUCUCCGUAGACAUUCUCAGCAUUCCAGAUUAAGUCCAAAAUUCCACAACAUUGUCCAUAAACUCUCAUCGCUGGAUCUCACUGAUGAUUUAGAUGCCAAGAACCUUCUAGAUUCUUUCCCGUACUAUACUCAAGCAAAUCAUCCAUACACACUUUGGUACUUUUCUCUCCCCCAGACUUAUUCUUUUCGCACACUCAUCAUCAUUUUUUUAUGGCAUAUACUCGAUAAGGGUAAAGCUGCGAGUACUGAUGGUGUUUGCCAUCGAGUCCCCGAGUUGUCCCCUUAUCUUGUAUCAAAGGUUUUCAGCGAAUAGUGGGGUCAUGGGAAACAUUCCUACCCCUCACUUCCUUCCUUUGUGUGAUCAUUCCAACUUAGAAGUGAAAUAAUGGGAUCAUUGGAAACAUUCCUAGCCUUUUUUCUUUCUUUCUUCUUUUUCCUAGCUCGUCACAAGGGAGAGAAAUACCAACAUUAAAUUUUACACAGGCUUUCAUUGAUCAAGUAUGAACGAGGAAUCAAGCUCUGAGGCAUUAGUCACAUCAACGAGUUAAAAGUGAAGUUUAGAACUUAGUUCAGGUUAGUGGAUUCUGUUGGAAACAUGGACGCCUCUAGUCAGCUGGUCAGCCUUUGGAUUUUUCAUUAGUCGGAUCUAGACUGAAUCUGCAGCAGUGGUCACUUAGGUGAAAGGUCAGCACAAUAAUUUCAGGAAAAGCAUCAUGAUCUCCAACAGGUUUUGACUCAAAAACGUUUUGACACAACUGACUCUUAAGAAAAACAAACACAAUGUCAGCAACUACCUCCCCCAGACUUGAAUAACACUGUCCCCAGUGUUAUCGAGUCCGAAGUUGGUGAAACAAAAAAAAGAAACAGAGAAACACAAGAAAAACGAAGAACUUACCUGGCUGCAGUGAUGGUGACGCGCGACACUGAUGAUGGUGUCGUGCGACACUUGUUCUCCUCGUACCGAAUUGCAGCAAACCAAUCUGAAUUUCUGGUUUGACUCCGGUUGCCCGAUUUCCUUUUUUUUUUUUUUUUUUUUUGAUGAAUAGCAAGUGACAGGCGACACCGAAGGUGGUGUCGCUCGACACCAGUCCUGUUUCACCUAAAACACGAAAAAGAAAAACGAAAAUCAACUGAAACAAAAGGCUUAUUUACAGACUCACCAGUGGAUUGCCUUCCACCAAGCGCUUGUUUUAAGUCAUUAGCUUGACUAUGGAUAGACUAUGCAUCUGGUGGAUCAGACAGUGGCAAAGAGUGCCUCUGUGAAAUUCGUCUCAUCCAUGGUGGUGUGUAAGCGUUUUGCGCAUGAGGUCGUCCAAGGAAUGCAGGAAUAACACCAGGGUGAGAUCUGUGUUUGGGUGACCUUGACCUAUUCUUUGGUGGAGAUGAAUAGAACGUGAUGUUGUGAGCUUCCUGUGCAUUAGCAGCUACUGGUUCUGUAGACGUCUUAGUCAACUCAGGUUGAUCUUUCACCUUCUCAGCAUCAAACACGUUCUGAUCUCCCACUAUCACUUCAGGUAUUGCACUGACUUGGAAUGUCUGACCAUCUAUGGUUGAAUCCUUUAGCUUCUCCAUCUUGAAAGACAUGAUGGUAUCUCCUAGGUGGAGAUCAAGGUUACCAUGCUUGACAUCAAUUACUGCUCCAGCUGUAGCUAAAAACGAUCUUCCCAGGAUAAGAGGAUCUUUGGGUUCCUCUUCAUAUUCCAGAACCACGAAAUCUGUAGGAAUUAUGCAAUCACCAACUUUAAUCGGAACAUCCUCCAAGACACCUUUUGGGAUUCUUUUAGAUCGAUCUGCUAGGAUUAGAGAGAUAUUAGUUGGCUUGAAGUCAGUCAUCCCAAGGCUAACAGCUACAUAGUAAGGCAUUAGGUUGACACUCGAACCAAGAUCACACAGCGAUCUCUUGAACCUCUCAGAGAAGAUAGAGCAGUCCAAAACAAAGCUUCCUGGGUCCGAGAGUUUCUCUGGAAUCUUAUUCUGAAUCACAGCACUGACCUGUUCAGAAAUCAUCAUCACUCCUUCCUCAUGACUCAGAUUAUUAGUCACCAUUCUCUUCACAUAGUGUCUGAGAGUAGGAGCAAUCUUCACAGCAUCAACCAAAGGAAUCUCAAUAACAAGUUUCUCCAUCAAAGUCUUGCAUCUGGCAUCAUCUAUCUCCUGCUUGGACUUCCUAGGACUCCUUGGGUAAGGAACCUUAGGUUUGUAAACCUUUUCCUCAGCAGAUUUCGAACUUUGAGCAAUAUCAGCUUUGCUCUGCAAUUGGUGACGCGCGACACUGGUUGUGGUGUCGCUCGACACCGGCUCUGCAGUUUCGAAAUUUUCUUCAGAUUCGUCAAACUCCACGAUUUCAUCCUCAGAAACACCCUUUUUAAGCACUUGAGUCAACUUUUUACCACUCCUUAACGAGAUAGCACUGCAGUAAUGCCUAGGAUUGAUAUCAGUCUUCCCAGUAAGGAAUCCUUCUUGCCUUUUUACAGACUCUGCAGUCUGAGCAACCUGAGUAUCAAGCUUCUUGACAUGAGUGUUCAGAACUUCAAUUUUUCUAUUCAGAUCCAGAUACAGAGCAUCAAUCUUCCCAUUGAAAUCCACAGUCAUCUUCUGCUGACCUUCCAGUAUCUGUUCCAGCAUAGACUUCACCUCAUUAUCAGGAGUUUGAGUAGGAGGAGAACCAUAGUUCCUUGAAAACCUGUUGUUGGAGUAGGAUGUCUGGUACUGAGGUUUGGAGCUGUAACCAGAAGAGUUCUGAUUACCUGUGAAGGUACUCCUCUGAUUAUUUCCAUUGUGAUUCGUGUUCCCUUGCCCAGAACCAAAUCUCUGACCCCGAAAUCCAGCUCCAUUGAUAAAGUUAACAUCCUCUUCCUCAAGUGCUUCAUCUGGUUCGAAAUUCUUAACCUCUGCAGCGUAUCGAACGGACUUCUUACCCACUAGAAGGCUAUGCACAGAGUCAAGCUUAGCCUUCACCUCAGCAAUCUGCGAUCCAUCCAUGUUUCUAGCCUGCUUCCUUCGCUGAUAGUCUGCAUUCUUGGUUCUAGAAUGAUAAAUCGAUUAUGAAUUUAGAACACAAAGUUUAAGAAUAACUCUCUUAUUGCUUUAGAAAACUGACUCAAAAACUAAAGCUCUCAAACUCUGAUAAGUGAAACCACAACUUUGGUAACUCCUUAUAUAGAGAAAGAUUUAGACAACUUCCUAAACCUAAUGGAAUUUAGAUUACUCCUAAUUUCCUUUUCUCUUUAAUCCUAACUCUUAUAGGAAACUUUACUUAAGAAGAUUCUGGAAGCUUGCUCUUCAAGCUUACUCCAACAUUGGUACUAUUGCUAGAUGCCAAGUUCUCAAUGAGCACAACAGCAUCUUCUGGGUACCUGGUGUUGAAGUUCCCAUUGCUUGCAGCAUCAAGAGCCAUCUGAUAUCUCCAAUCAACACCUCUGAAGAAAAUACCCAACAGCUGAACAUCACUGAAACCAUGAUGAGGGCAAUCUCGCUGGUACGACUUGAAUCUCACCCAAGCAGCUUUGAACGCUUCAGUUGGUUCCUGAGAAAAAGUCGAAAUUUUCGUCCUCAACUCCUCAGAUCUAGCAUCAUCGAAGAAGUUGUGCAGGAAAGCAUUCCUGGUCUCUUCCCAAAUAGUGAGUGAUCCUGGCUCCAACUGCUUCAACCAGUUAGCUGCUUCUCCAGCAAGAGAGUAAGGAAACAGCUUGCAGAGGAGGAAAUCAUUGGACACUCCAUUGUAUUUGAUGCUGGUGACCAAGUCCUCAAACCUCUCGAUGUGAUCCAUAGGGUGCUCAUGAGAAAGACCAUGGAAAGGAUGCUGACCCACAAGAGUGUAAUACACAGGCUUGAGCUCAAAAUCAUUCCUCUGAAACGCAGGAGCGCGAAUCGCAGACCGAUUUGCAUAGAAUUGCUCAGGCCUGUUGUAGUCACCCAGCGUCCUGAUGAUGUUACCCUGUCCAUCAAGUCGCUGGCCUCUCUCAUUGCACACAUGACCCUCUUGGUCUCUCCAGACUCCAGCAUCAUCACGAAUCAAUGCCAAUGCGUUCUCCAUCUUUGCUAGUUUCUGAGACAAAGAGAAAGAACAAUGUAAGUAACAAAGCAAAAAUAAAAUAAAGAAAAACAACGGGUGUCGCGCGACACCAAUGCUGGUGUCGCUCGACACUAAGAAAAACUUAGUCGAAACUCAAGAACUAAAGUUUAAUGGCGAAAAUCAAGUCUCGGGCAACGGCGCCAAAACUUGAUCUGCUCAAAGUUUAAUCCUUAGAGCUACUCUGCAAGAGCACAAAUGUGCAAUUGUAGUAUAAUAGGGGUCGAACCACAGAGACGAGAGAUUCGCUCAAUAAACCUAUUAGAAAUUGAAUUACGCUAAGCAGAUUAAUGAGAAGCAAAUAGCAAUGCAAAUAAAGAUAAACGAAUGCAGUAAAAACGUUUGUAAAGUUCAGAUGGGUGGAGAUUAGGCUUAGGGCGUUUCUCAGGAAAUCAAUGCAUGCAGAUCAAUCGAUAAAUCAGGGUUCAGGUUUAAGCACGGUUCUUGAACUCGAAUCACAGAAUUAUAAUUAACCAACUUCCGUUGUGAGAAUUAUCUAAGUUAAAAUCCUAGAAUUCCAAAUUCCUUUGCAAACCCUAAAGAUUUAAACCAGCUUUAAUGCUCAAGUUCGAUAUGUUCACAAAGUAUCUAAACCAAAUUCCUUUGCAAAUAGCUACUUUGCUCACCCUAGGUUCUUUCCAGUUAUUCAAUUACACUUCCGUGUCAAUCAAUUAACCUAAGAUCUAAGUUCUAGGUGGCCAGUCCAGAAUUAGCUUUAAGAACAACUUAUGGUGAAGAACUAAAUAGAUUAUGAACCCUAAUUAAUCAAUCAAUCCAACAUCCAAUGAAAUCCUUUAUGAGAACCCUAAACCUAACAAGCAAACUACUCAGACAUGGAGAUUGAAGCAAUAAACAUGAUUGAAUAGCUUGCAGAAAAGAAAUAAUAGAUAAAUAAACAGGGGUUCGAAAUCUUCUCUCUCCGGAACAGAGUUUCAGACUUGUCUCCCCAAAAGCUCUCAAAAACAAAAGUUCUCUCUCAGAAAAUCUAAGGUAAUCGUAAAAAGGGAAUAAAAACCCUAUAUAUAUAUCUCUAAGACACGUUUUGGGCUUCCUUGGAAACGUUUAGGCCCAACUCUUUCUUCAAAUAGGAAACAAAAUCGCUUUUUCCUUAUUUUUUGACAAGUGUCGCACGUCACUCUCCAUGGUGUCGAGCGUCACUAAAGCACAAAAUCCAUUCUUGACGAAUUUGAUCCUGAUUAAGCUCCAAAGUGCUCCAAAGUCUCCAGUUAAGCUCCAAACGUACCUAUGACCUGAAAAGACCCCAAAAGACUCAAAAGACACUAAAAAGACUCUAUAAAUAAGACAUAUACCAUGGUCAAAAACCAUAAAAACCAUGAUAUAUCAGAUAUAACAUAUAUCAUCUCGUUUUUUUUUUUUUUUUUCUUUUUGUAAAGAAUAUCACUUGAUCUAUGUACCCAAGUAUAUUUAAGAAAUUGGAAAAAUAAGGAUAUUUUAUAAGAAAAUCAUUAAAUUGUAUAAAGAAUAUAAAGUGCUAUUAAAAAUGUGAUUUAAAAAAAAAGAAAAGUACGCAUGAUCCUUCUAUACUUAUAUUCCUAGCUCUUGAGAAAUGAGUUAUUUGAGUUUGGAGACACACGUUCAGGGGACGGUACUCGGCUCUUUGAAAGAGUAUUAAGCUUGAAUGGAUUGCAUGAGCCACAGAACCUUAAGUGUCGGAGGCUUAUCCGCUUAUGUGAAUCAAGUUCAUGUCCACACAAUGAGACGAUACGGUCAAAUAUGUCCUAUGUUCUUGGACCAGUUGCAUACAAUUUAAUUAUCCUCUUGUCAAUAUUAGAUUAGAGAUACAACAGUUUUGUCUUCCAUAGAGAGAGCUUCUUCAUCAUCGACGAAAAGAAGAACAAAAGCCCAUACAUAUCCCAGUUGAAAACGAGAAGAAAAGCCCACACAGAAAAUUAAAGAUACGUGAUUACCUAACUGCAAAAGACAAAGGUAUGUGACCACCUCGGUAACUGCAGAAGACAGUUAAAGGUUGUUGAGUUGAGCCGCCAAAACAGAAUACUUAGAGCAAAAACAGAAGAAGAAGGUAUGUGACCAGCUAGGUAACUGCAGAAGACAAAUAAAGGUUGUUGAGUUGAGCCGCCAAAACAGAAUACUCUCAGUGUAAAAACAGAAGAAGAAGGUACGUACGUGUUCUGUUUCGUAUUAAGAUUAAAAAAAAAAUAGAGCAAUGAGUUCACAAAGGCAUGUGUCAGAGUGUGAUUAGUAGAUUUAGAUCUAAGCUUUAAAAGUGAAAAACAACUAGCAUUUAGCAACAAAAAUAAAAGCAACUAGCUAGUAGAAAACUGAGAGUGGCAAUGGAUGCUGAUAUAUACUUCCUCAUCAACCUCUCAUUUACACUAUUAUUCAUUGAAUAAGAUUAAUAAAAUAUGAUCUUUUAAUUUAAUAGUUUGGAUUUUUUUAAAUAUACGUUGCAUUAAUUAUCAAAAAUUUGUUACUAAUAUAUCUUAAAUGUAAUUUUAUAUAUUAUCUAUGUUUUUUAACAUUUUAAGUGUUUUUUAUAAAUUUAAAUUCGUGUAAUUUUAUGCUAAAUUGUGUUAUUUAAAAAUAUAAUAUUUUGUUAACAUUAUUAAUAUUUGUGAGUGUAUUAAUUUUACUAUUAUAGUUAAUAUAAAUAAAUAUACUAAAUUAAGAUGUAAUCUAAGAUGUAAUUAAUAUAAUUAAAUAUAUUUAAGAUAAUAUUUACUUUAAUAUAUUUUAUAAAAUAAAAACAAAAGAUUUUUUACUUUAAGAUAAUAUUUAGAGACAUUACACUUAAAUGCAUUUUUUAAACACAUAUUACAAUAAAAUACACUUCUAGCUAUUAUGAUAUUUUUUUGUUUUUUUUAAUUUCAUACCAAAAUAAUCCAAAAUUGUCUCAUGUGUUCACGAUAACGUUGGAUGCGAACUAGCAUAGAUUAAACUCAGAUUUUAAAAACAGUAAUUUUUCUCAUCUAUUUUUUGUAUUUUUUAAUAUUGUGAAAGAUAAAUAAAAACAGUUUUUUGUUAUAAUGAAAUAUAAUUUUAUUUUCUCAUAUUUUAAGACACAUUAUACUAUAAUUUAUUUAUUAAAUAAGAAAUUUUUCGAAAAUCAUUUAUAUAAAAUUCAAAAAAAAAAUCACAAGUUUAGUUAGAUAUCCAUUCACAAAAUAAAAUAUGGAUGAUAUAUGAUGGACAUAAAACAUGGACAUGAUGGCAUGAAUUAAUUUUAAUUGAUAUAUUUGACGUGGAUAUAUAUUUUACAUUGUCCACGAUAUAGAUAUAAUUGUGUGGAUAUGUUGUUAUUGAUAUAUUCGACAUGGAUAUACAUUUUACAUUGUCCAUAAUAGGACAUGAUCAUAUGAAUUAUUUUGAUGUUAAAUUUGAAAAAAAAAAAUUAUAAUAAUUAAAAGUGCUUUUUUGUAAGAAUAAGUAGAAAAAUAUAUUUUUGAGUGUAAAUCACUCUAAUAUUUAACUUAAGUUUUCAAUAUUAAUUACACUGAAAUUAAAAUUUGUACAACAUUAAUAAUAUUAUAUAGAUGAGAUAUAUUAGUGGAUACUUUAUCAAAAAAGGCAAAAAUUUAUGAUAGGGUUCUCAAAAAAAACGAAUUCUUAAAAUAUUAGUACUUCCUUCAUUCUGAUUUUAUAUGAUACUUUAUCAUUGUACACAGAUUAAGAAAUCUUUAAUUUAAUUUUUUUCUAUACUAAAACUUUAAUUUUUAUCAUUUUCAAUAUAAUGCAACUAAUUCAAAAAAAUAAUAUGCAAAAUAUAAAAAUCUGUAAAACACCAUUUAGAUAAGAACGGAUGAAAUAUUAUAUUUAUGAGAUAUCCUUAAGAUAUCUUAAUAGAAAUGCUCUUACAAAUAAAAACAAACCAGUGGUCAAAUGUCUUUGGAAAUGUCUCUGUUCUUUGACGACAACAAAAAUUGUCUCUUAACUUUCAGUGUUUUGUUUCAAGAGAAACUAGAUUCUAACCCUGUGCAUCCGCACAAGAAUUUUUUUUAUUUCUGAUAUAAAUUGUAAUUAUUUUUUUGUUUAGAUAUAAUUUGUUUUUGUUAUUUAUUUUUUUUUUAAAUCAAGAAAAUUUUUAGCAUGUUUUAAUUUUAAAUAAUAUAGAUUUGUAUAUCAGUAGAAUAAAUGUAUAAGUUAAUUACGUAUACAUCGACCUAAUGUUAAUUAUAAAAUUUAUUAUUAUGUAAAUUUUUAUUUACAUAUAAACAAUCUAUGUAUAUAUCUAUGAAUUUGCUAAUCUGUCUGUUUAGUUGCCUUAAAAUCAUUUUUUUUAUAAAUAUUUUACAUGUUUUGACAAACUAACCAGAAUAAAACUCUAAUUAUAAAGGGAGAGUUUCACAUUUAACCCAUAUUUCACAGUCAAACAUCAAACUAACCUCUUUUUUUUCUCUCUCCAACUUUUGCCAUUUUCUCACAAUUUUAUCCUUCCCACUUUAACUAUUAACGAAAAUACCAUUAUACAUCUAUUAUUUCGAUUUUUCUUUAAUUUGGCUAAAGUCUCCUUGGACCUUCUAAAGACCUUUUAAUUACGAGAAUGCCAUCUUUUUCAAUUUCUUCAACCACCAUGAACAACCAUGAAAAUAGAAUAAAUGCUUCUCAACCAAUUUUAAAGCUGUAAUAAAACAAAUAUCUGAGCUCAUUCACUCAUAACCUUGCUCAUUCUUUCAUAAUUUCUUCUCCAAAACAUCUGGGCAAAGUUACAAUGCUUCGCGCCAUGCUUUUUUGGUGAUUUCUGGUUACUCGACACCUGGGUUGUUUAAUUUCGGUGAAAUCUUGAGUUCUGGGUGGAUAAGAGAAACUUAGGCGAGCACAAUUUUGUUAAAGGUAAUCCUCGCACUUCAAUUUCUCCACAUUUCAGUUUUUAUAUCGCGAAAGUAGACUUCUCGUGAACUAUACUGAAGUCUACUAGUCAACAUAAGGUUAUUUUUGCAAUUGACUUUUAAAAAGUAGACUUCGUUAAACUUCACGAGAAGUCUACUCGACAUCCUUUGAAAACAAAAAAAAAACUUAGUAGACUUCGUUUGAAGGCUCAAGAAGUCUACUAAAGAAAAGAGGUUAUUUUUGUAGUUUGCCGUAUUUUGACUUUUUGAUUUAGACUUCCGUAUGAAGUCUACUGCUUACGUCUGCAUACAAAGUCUACUUUAAAGUUACUUUUGUAGUUUGACCAAAAACGUAUAGGUCAUUUUUGUGUUUGACUUCUGUUUUUCAAAAAUUAAAAAAUUUAAAAAAUUCCAAAAAACUUCAGUAGACUUCCCAAAGAAGUCUACAAUUUGUAGACUUCUUUGGGAAGUCUACUUAUUUUGUUCGGUCAAACUUAGAAGGAAUCCUUUUUUGAGUAGACUUCUCAAAAAAAUCAAUUGCAAAAAUAACCUAUUUUGUUCCGUAGACUUCUAUUUAAAAAGUAGACUUCAAAUGUAGACUGUCAGAGAAGUCUAUUCUAACAUGAAGUCUACAAUAGAAGUCUAUUCUGUUAGUCAAUGCAUCGGUCCAAUGCUAAAGUAACCUUUUUUUACUGAAGUCUACUCCUGAAGUCUACUGAAGGAAAAGUCAACAGAUUGGUCAAUUGCAAAAAUGACCUUUUUUGUAGAUUUCAUUAGUAGACUUCUCAAUGAAAAAGUAGACUUCUCCUCCAGUCUACAGUUGAAGUCGGCUUACGAAGUCUACUUUUUGAUGUUUUUUAAAAAAUGCGUUUUAAGCAAAUUUAUAAACUAUUUUUCAAAUUUUUUGGUUUAGAAUUGCUUCUUAGUAAGUGAUUGAACUUCCCAUUCAAUUUUAUUUCAUUUCAUUGGAUAUUUAUUGUUGAAUCAGAAAUUUCAAUUUUUUAGGUACUUAGCUUAUCAAAGUAGACUUCUCCUCCAGUCUACAUUCAAAGUCUGCUUUAGAAGUCUGCUUUAGGAGUCUACUUUUAGACGUUUUUUUAAAAACGCGUUUUAAGCAAAUUUAUAAACUAUUUUUCAAAUUUUUUGGUUUAGAAUUGCUUCUUAGUAAGUGAUUGAACUAUCCAGUGAAUUUUAUUUUCAUUUCAUUGGAUAUUUAUUGUUGAAUCAGAAAUUUCGAUUUUUUAGGUACUUAGCUUAUCAAAGUAGACUUCGUCGUGUAGUCUACUCAUGUUCUUUUCCGUAGAAGUCCACUCUUGAUACAAAAAGUCUCUAUGCAGUGUUUGCUAAUAUGGUUUAUAUGGUUUAUAUGGUUAUUUUUUCAGAGAAUGGCUCAAAUUCUAGUUGUGUACGGUGAGUGGAAGAUUGAGGAGAAUUCAUGGCAUUUUGUUGUUGACAUGGGCAAAGGUGGAAGAAUGUGGUUUUUGAACGAUGGUUGCACCUUGGGGGAGCUUACUGAGAUGGCGCGAGAUGAUUAUAACUUGGGCAAGAAGACUGAGCUCAUCGAGUUAACCUGCGCACUACCAAUCUCAAUGUUGCAAACUAUGGCUCCAGAUACACCUCCAAUGCAUGUCACCAAUGAUAGAAAAGUUUCAAGCUUGAUUGCGUUAAGCAGAGUGCAUAUGGUACGUCUUUGUGUGUCCAGUCGAGUGGAGAUGGAUACUGAGGAGAACCAGGAAGGAUCAGAUGAAGAUUUAGGUGAGGAGUCUGAGGAAAAUUCCGAAUAUUCUACCGAUGAUGAGGCAGACAGUUCUGAUGUGAACAAGGAUGGAGAAGAUGUCGACAAUGCAGCUUACUCUGACGGAGAAGAUUACAGUGUCUACAGUAAAGUGAAAGAUGAAGAUGAUGAUGAAAAUGAAGUCUGAAUUACUCUGCAGUUUAUUGUCACAAACAGGCAUGAAUUUACAAAUGACUACACCAAUGCUAUAAUUUAGUAACAUGUUUUAUCAUAGUCUGAAAAUUGUAAACAACUAGUUUUUAAAACAUAAGUAAAUAAUAUCACAUGGUACAUUACACUAGUAAACAUGUUCGAAUUCAAAUGACAUUAGUAUUAAAUGUUCCUAUCUUUGUGUGAUCUUGUUCGCACGUAAUGUUUUCGUAUAGGCGGAGGGUUUUUGGUACUAACCCCUUCAUGCUUCUUGGAUCCAGUGCCCUGCUGCUGGGUUGACUCUACAUUGUCUUUAACCUCUUCCUCAGUGUGCUUCGCCGACCCUGUAGUCAACUCCUCUACCGCACGCUCUACAGAUUCAACCUUCUCGGUGAGAAGUUUGAUCUGCUUUUCACAGCUACCAAGACCAUUCAGCAUCUUGGUUGAAAAGCUUUUGAAGCAUUGGUCGAAGUGCGCUUUCAUAGUAGCGACAACUCCGAUCCCUUCGUCACCAACGAAUGAGGCGGCAGAGGCAGAGGCUGUGCAGGGUCUCUUGCGACUUGAUUCAUCUGAGGGAAGGCUCCUCUUUCCGGCUUCUGCCUUGACGAUGUGUGCACCCAAAACACCUUCCAAAGGCCAAUGGUUUUUUGAGAACUUGAAAUGGGGGUCAUGGAUUGCAUUGACAAUCUUGAAAAUAUCUGGAUCCUGUUCGUCAUCAUCCCACACGGGAAACAUAUCCGCCAAGUCCUUAGCCACGCAGCACUGUAUGCGAGCUUGGAAAAACACAAUAAGUAAAUGAAUUACUAUCCAUAUGAAGCCUCGAAAAACUACGUAUGAAGUCUACUCCUGAAGUCUAACAUAGAAGUCUAUUCCUGAAUGUCUCACACUAUCAAUGGUACAUAUAGAAGUCUACACAUGAAGUCUACUUCUGAAGACUACUUUGAAAAUUCAUUACUACAUAGAAGUCUACUACACUAAUACAGUACCUGUUUUAGCAUGUUGGCUUUGGCGUUCUUUCGUCCUCUUGAUCCUUUGUAAUCCAGCAAAAGAGGUUCAGUAACAUUUGGCAAUGGUUUGCCAAAUCCAGCAGCAAAAUCCGGCAGAGCAUAGUACACCCACACUUGAAGAGCUUGCACAAAUCCUUCUAUAUGAAUGUUUUUGCUGAGAUCUUUCUCCUUAACAGACUUGAUCAAAUGCUGAAAAGCAAUUCUUCCCCAUGGAAACUCCUUAAAACCUUCGAGAUCCAUCACUAGUCUGGCAUGGUUGACAUUUGUGGAUUAGCCAGGUCUUGUUGCCACUAUGAAACCAGCGUAGAUCCCAAGAUAACCCAACCGCAGCCUAUCAUCCCGAGACCAUGAUGAGCAGUUGGAACAGGCUUCAAUAAUUUCGAUAGUGCUUGGACCCGACUCCGCAUCGACCCCCAUUAGCUCCCAAAAUGCACGCAUGUCAUCGGCAAGCGCAAGAUCAGUUAAAGCCAAGUCAUCCACGUACCCGCAGUUGAGUCCGGUGAUCUCCUCAAACUCAUGCAAUGAAAACCAAACUGGAGUGGUACCAAUCAGGCUCCAUAUCUCGUACCUCUGCUUGCAAACUAUCUGAAAGGUCAGCAUGUGGUGCACCAGCCUAGAAGCCCAACCAAAAUCCCAGUCGUGGAACUUUAAAAAGACACCCAACGGUGACUCGUAAAUCUCUUCCCAUUCAUCCUCUUGUAGAGCUGACUUUAGUGCAGGUACCAGCCUAUAAUCAUCAGCAUAAUAGCUCAUGCUUUUAUCUGGGGCUGGCUCAAACCCUUUGGUGUACAGUCUUCUAGGGAAAUCAGAGGCCACCAUUAUCUAACACAGAUUUCUGCAUCAACGGUAACAAAGCUCUAAUGAGAAAAACUAGUAACGAUUUGAAACUAUACACGAAUGAAGUCUACUUUUUCAAAGUGAAGUCUACAUUUUCAAAAUAAAGUCUACUUUUUCAAAAUGAAGUCUACUUUUUCAAAAUGAAGUCUACUUUUGCAAAACGAAGUCUACUUUUUGCAAAAUGAAGUUUACUUUCACAUUCUAAGUACAAUCCGAGUCGAGAAGUCUACUGAAGCCAACCGAAGUAAUCUUAACAUAAAAAAACAGUAUAUUAAGUCAACGGAAUCCACAUGAAACAAUCAAAACAUCAUAAAUACUGCAUAUGCAGUCUACAGAACCCAACCGAAGCAAUCAAUACAUGAUAAAUACUGUAUAUGAUGUCUACUAAAACAAAUCAUCCAAAUGGAAUCUACAAAGUUUAUAGUGUUUACCGCCGUUAUUAGAUGAAGCUGGAGUCGAGAAAAUGCAACCAGAUCUGGGAAAAAAACCUAAGUCAAACCCGACAGACAAAAUUACAGGAAGAUAGAAGAAAUAUAAGAAUUGCUAAGUAUAUAACUUCGGAACAACAUCUACUAACCGUUUUGAGGCAGGAAAUGACGUUAACCUCCAACGGCGAAAGCAGAUCUGCAAAAAAAAAAAAACCCUAAUUUCAAAUCUAGAAACUGGUGGUUACGAAAACGGAAAGGUGAUGAAUAUUGAAUACGGAGGAGUAGGGAAGCAUGGGGGUGUGGUUGGAGGAAGAAAACUUGCCUGAACGAGUUUAUCGGCAGCGGUUCUGUAUGUCGGCGGCGCCGGAGCAGAAAAACAGAAAUCGCCUUCGACUUUUUUUUUUUUUUACACGAACUUUCGACGGUUUUUUUUUUAACAGGAUCUGUAAAAUUCGUAUAUAUAGUCUUGUAAUUCCGUACGGUUCGGAUAAGUUUUUUUCGGUUAGGAUUACUAAUUUUACGGGGUCUAGGUAAAUUUACCCGGUUACAAGCAGUUUUUCUUGGUUAAGGGAAAUUAUUCCCGGUUUAAUUUCGGUUUAAAUUUUGGUUAGGUUAUUUUAUUCGGUUUAGUAGAUAUACAACUUUUAAAACCUAAAUAAUAAAUUUACUUCUACUUAAUUUAAAAACAUAAAUUCAAAAAUCAAUUAGUUCUCUUUUCUCAGCACUCUUUCCUCUUGUUUCUUUCUUCAACCUUUAUUUUACUCUCUAGCAUAAUUUUUUAAAAACAACAAAAGAAAACCAGUAGUUUUCUUUUGAAACAAGCCAGUAGUUUCCACUACAGUUCUCAUACAAAUUCCUUUGAAUUUUCCUCUCCUCUUUACCCGUUUGGCUUAUAUAUAUGAACUAAGAAAGCUUGUUUCCUCAAACCACUGCUAUACUUUCUUCAAACUCUCUUUUGCUCUAUCUCUCUCAUGGCUUCUUCUUCUCCUCCUUCUCCUUGUGCUUAUAUUAAGAGAUACGAUGUCUUUCCAAGCUUCAACGGGCCAGAUGUUCGUAAAGGACUCCUCAGUCAUUUACACGAUCACUUUUUAAGGAAGGAAAUCAAAAUGUACAAGGAUGAUAAGAUGGAGAGAUGCCAACGAUCAAACGUGAACUCGUGAAAGCGAUUAGAGAAUCGAGGGUCUUGAUGGUUUUGCUCUCGAAAAACUACGCUUCUUCGAGCUGGUGUUUGGACGAACUGGUGGAAAUCUUGAAGUGCAGAAAAGAUAAGGAACAGAUUGUGAUGCCUAUUUUCUACGACCUUGAUCCGUUCCAUGUACGCACACAGAGCGGUGACUUCGGAAGCGCGUUCGAGAAAACCUGCGAAAACCAAACAGAGGAAGUGAAGCAGAGAUGGGUCGAAGCUUUGAAAUGUGUAACGACCAUAGCUGGAGAACAUUCUCGUAACUGGUUUGUUUUAACCUGCAUAACUUCUUUCGUGAUUCAACCAUAGCUGGAGUUUCUAUAAUUUAUUAAGAUUUUGUUUUUUUUUUCAGGACUGAUGAUGCUGAGAUGGUCCAAAAGCUUUGCACAGAAGUCUCGAACAAACUGAAAGUGGAAGAGUCUAAGGAAGAAUUUAGGAAGUACGAUGUAGACAAUAAUGGUUUCAUAACUGCAGCAGAGCUUCCACGAUGUGUGUUGAUAAAAGAUGGAGAAGAAUCUACUGAUAAGCAAGUUCGUAGUAUCAUCCGAGUAGUUGAUAUUGAUGGCGAUGGUCAGAUCAACUUUGAUGAAUUUGUCGAACUCAUGGCUCUUAGGUAAGGGAUUCUUGAAAGCCUUAACCUCAAAGAAACAAAAAGAAAAACGAUUUAUGAUGUCUUACAGUGAAAUCUUAUCAUAUGAUUUAGAACGCUUUUGUCUCUCUUAAUCAAUGAUUCAAUAGUGGAGUUUCUAUAGUCUAAUAACAUUCUGUUUUUUUUUUUUUUUUCUUAGGAUGACUGAUAAGAAGCUUUACACGGACCAAGUGAAAGCGGAAAUGAUGAAGGAAGGCUUUAGGGAAUGCGAUGUAGACCAGAAUGGUUACAUAACUGCACCAGAGCUUCGAUAUGUGCUGACAAAAGAUGGGGAGGAAUUUACCGAUAAGCAAGUUCGUAAGAUCAUCCGAAAAGCUGAUGUUAAUGGCGGUGAUCAGCUCAACUGUGAUGAAUUCUUCAAAUUCAUGAAUCUCAUGAUGGAUGCGUAAGGGAUUCUUAAGCCUUAACCUCAUGGAUAAAAAAAAAGGAUUUAUGAAUUAUGAUGUCUUACAGUGAAAAUAUUUUAACGCCUUUUUGUUUCUUAAUCUAAUCUAUAAGAUUCUGUUUUUUUUUUCUUUUGUUAGAAAGAGGAUGACUGAUGAAAGAGCUGCGAGAGUCGAAAAGAUUGCCUCAUAUGUAUCGAACAAACUGGAUAAAUUCGCCAUAUAGAUUCAUGAUAAAAGCCUUCUCCUGAAGAAGAAAAGAAAAACGAUUUAUGAAUGUCUUACAGUGUGAAUUUUCAUCAUGAUAUGAUCCUGGUUGUCUUCUUUAGGACAUGUUUUUUUUACUUCUUUCCACCUUCGAUUUGGUUGCUUUGUUAAUCUCUUUAAUUAGUGUUAUGUCAAGUAUGAACUCAUGUUUUGCUCCUCCUAGUGACAAUUGAUUUUAUCUCUUUUUUUGUGUUUCCUAUUUAGAUAUGAGAGAUUGUAUUGGGAUAUAACAUAUAUCAUCUCGUUUUUUUUUUCUUUUUUUCUUUUUGUAAAGAAUAUCACUUGAUCUAUGUACCCAAGUAUAUUUAAGAAAUUGGAAAAAUAAGGAUAUUUUAUAAGAAAAUCAUUAAAUUGUAUAAAGAAUAUAAAGUGCUAUUAAAAAUGUGAUUUAAAAAAAGAAAAGUACGCAUGAUCCUACUAUACUUAUAUUCCUAGCUCUUGAGAAAUGAGUUAUUUGAGUUUGGAGCCACACGUUCAGGGGACGGUACUCGGCUCUUUGAAAGAGUAUUAAGCUUGAAUGUAGAUUGCAUGAGCCACAGAACCUUAAGUGUCGGAGGCUUAUCCGCUUAUGUGAAUCAAGUUCAUGUCCACACAAUGACGUCAUACGGUCAAAUCUGUCCCAUGUUCUUGGACCAGUUGCAUACAAUUUAAUUAUCCUCUUGUCAAUAUUAGAUUAGAGAUACAACAGUUUUGUCCUCCAUAGAGAGAGCUUCUUCAUCAUCGACGAAAAGAAGAACAAAAGCCCAUACAUAUCCCAGUUGAAAACGAGAAGAAAGCCCACACAGAAAAAAUACGUGAUUACCUAACUGCAAAAGACAAAGGUAUGUGACCACCUAGGUAACUGCAGAAGACAAUUAAAGGUUGUUGAGUUGAGCCGCCAAAACAGAAUACUCUCAGUGCAUAAACAGAAGAAGAAGGUACGUACGUGUUCUGUUUCGUAUCAAGAUUAAAAAAAAAAAUAGACCAAUGAGUUCACAAAGACUAUGUGUCAGAGUGUGAUUAGUAGAUUUAGAUCUAAGCUUUAAAAGUGAAAAGCAACUAGCAUUUAGCAACAAAAAUCAAAGCAACUAGCUAAUAGAUAACUGAGAGUGGCAAUGGAUGGUGAUAUAUACUUUCUCAUCAACCUCUCAUUUACACUAUUAUUCAUUGAAUAAGAUUAAUAAAAUAUGAUCUUUUAAUUUAAUAGUUUGGACUUUUUUAUAUAUACGUUGCAUUAAUUAUCAAAAAUUUGUUACUAAUAUAUCUUAAAUGUAAUUUUAUAUAUUAUCUAUGUUUUUUAACAUUUUAAGUGUUUUUUAUAAUUUUAAAUUCGUGUAAUUUUAUGCUUAAUUGUGUUAUUUAAAAACAUAAUAUUUUGUCAUUAUUAAUAUUUGCGAUUGUAUUAAUUUUACUAUUAUAGUUAAUAUAAAUAAAUAUACUAAAUUAAGAUGUAAUCUAAGAUGGAAUUAAUAUAAUUAAAUAUAUUUAAGAUGUAAUUUAAUAUAUUUUAUAAAAUAAAAACAAAAUAUUUUUAACUUUAAGAUAAUAUUUAGAGACAUUACACUUAAAUGCAUUUUUAAACACAUAUUACAAUAAAAUACACUUCUAGCUAUUAUGAUAUAUUUUUUUUUUUAAUAUUUCAUACCAAAAUAAUCUAAAAUUGUCUCAUGUGUUCACGUAACGUUGGGUGCGAACUAGCAUAGAUUAAACCCAGAUUUUUAAAACAGUAAUUUUUUCUCAUCUAUUUUUUUGUAUUUUUUAAUAUUGUGAAAGAUAAAUAAAAAACAGUUUUUUUUGUUAUAAUGAAUUAUAAUUUUAUUUUCUCAUAUUUUAAGACUUAUUAUACUAUAGUUUAUUUAUCAAACAAGAAAUUUUUCGAAAAUCAUUUAUAUAAAAUUCAAAAAAAAAAAAAAUCACAAGUGUAGUUAGAUAUCCAUUCACAAAUAAAAUGUGGAUGAUAUAUGAUGGACAUAAAACAGGGACAUGAUGGCAUGAAUUAAUUUUAAUUGAUAUAUUCGACGUGGAUAUACAUUUUAUUGUCCACAAUGUGGACAUAAUUGCGUGGAUAUGUUUUUAUUAAUAUAUUCGACUUGGAUAUACAUUUUACAUUGUCCAUAAUAGGACAUGACCAUGUGAAUUAUUUUGAUGUUAAAUUUGAAAAGAAAAAAUAUUAUAAUAAUUAAAAGUGUUUUUUGUAAGAAUAAGUAGAAAAAUAUAUUUUUGAGUGUAAAUCACUCUAAUAUUUAACUUAAAUUUUCAAUAUUAAUUACACUGAAAUUAAAAUCUGUAAAAAAUUAAUAAUAUUAUAUAGAUGAGAUAUUUUGGUGGGUACUUUAUCAAUAAAGGAAAAAAUUUAUUAUAGGGAUCUCAAAAAAAAAAAUGAUACUUUAUCAUUGUACACAGAUUAAGAAAAUCUUUAAUUUAUUUUUUUUCUAUACUAAAACUUUAAUUUUUAUCAUUUUCAAUAUAAUGCAACUAAUAUAAAAAAUGAUAUGCAGAAUAUAAAAAUCUGUAAAACACCAUUUAGAUAAGAACGGAUGAAAUAUUAUAUUUAUGAGAUAUCCUUAAGGUAUCUUAAUAGAAAUGCUUUUACAAAUAAAAACAAGCCAGUGGUCAAAUGUCUUUGGAAAUGUCUCUGUUCUUUUACGCCAAAAAAAAAUGUCUCUUAACUUUCAGUGUUUUGUUUCAUGAGAAACUAGAUUCUAACCCCGUGCAUCCGCACGAGAAUUUUUUGUUUUUUAUUCUAAUAUAAAUUGUAAUUAUUUUUUUUGUUUAGAUAUAAUUUGUUUUUGUUAUUUAUUUUUUUUUAAAUCAAGAAAAUUUUUAGCAUGUUUUAAUUUUAAAUAAUAUAGAAUUGUAUAUCAGUAGAAUAAAUAUAUAAGUUAAUUACGUAUACAUCGAUCUAAUGUUAAUUAUAAAUUUUAUUAUUAUGUAAAUUUUGAUUUACAUAUAAACAAUCUAUGUAUAUAUCUAUGAAUUUGCUAAUUGUCUGUUUAGUUGCCUUAAAAUCAUUUUUUUAAUAUUUUACAUGUUUUGACAAACUAACCAGUAUAGAACUCUAAUUAUAAAUGCAUAACCCUAAUUUGCUCUAUCAUAUUAUUGUAGAAUAGAAAUAUUAAUUAAUAUUGAAGUUUUGAUAGUUUAGAUUGAUUGAUUAUGAUAAAAUAUAAUAAGAUAUUCAUUUACCAUUAUAUCUAUAUAUUGGCUAACCUGUUAGUUUAAUUGCCUCAAAUCAUCUUAAUAUCUUAUAUAUUUUAAUAAACUAAUUUAUAGACCAUAAGUAUAAAUAUAUAACCCUAAUCAGCUAUAUUAUAUUAUAAAUUUGAUAUUUUAGACCGAUUGAUUAUGAUAAAAUACAAUAAGAUAUUCGUUUAUUAUGCGCUAUUAUGAGAAUAUCAUUUAAAUUUAAAAUUUAAAUUAAAUCUAACAUGUAUUUAAGUAAUUCUAAAGUAUUAAAAUUAUUAUCUAAAUUUUUAUAAUAAAAUUUAAUUAUAAUUUUUUCAUUUUUUGAAUUUUAAAUUAAAUUUGAAUAAUUAUAAAUUUUGAAUAAUUUCAAAUUUAAACAAAUAUGACAUAUAUUUAAGGAAAUCUAAAACUAUUUAAAUAUAUAACUAAUUUUCGGAAAUAAAUAUAAAUAUAAAAUAAAAUAUUUUUAAAAAAAAUUUGGGAGUGUUUGGAAGCAGAUACUAAAAAUGCUUCUGUUUUAAUAUAAUAGAUUGCACAAACUAGUAACCAAUAAAUUGAAAAUUAGUUCUCUUUCCUCAGCACUAUUCAUCGCGUACUAUUUAUUGCCAAAAAUCAAUUUUACCCUUCUUUUUUCAAUCAAAUUACAUCUUUAGUUUUUAUCUCUUCAACCAUUGUCCAUGAAAGAAAAAUGCAAAGAAUAAGAGAAAAAAAUAGAACAAGAAAAGAAGAAAGAAGAGAACAAAGAAGAUGGAUGAAAUUGAAGAUAGAAAUGGAGAUGGAGGUUAGUUAUAGUGCAACGAUGGUCUUAAUGAUGGUGGUGACGUCACCACUGACGUCACGAUAUGUUAUCGAUAACAUUAUUAGCAAUUAGCAAACGAGUUAUCGAUAUAAUUUUGAAUAAAUCUUGUUAUGAUAACUAAGUUAGCACACAUACUAUUCUGAUUUGUAUAUGUUAACAUACAAAAAGUAUCAGAUAUUAUUGUUAAUAUGUUAUAAAUACUAGAUAUUAGUGUUAAACACAUUAAUAUUUAUAUAAUAUGUUAUUAUAAUUAUUAUCAUGUUAACUAAUUAUAUAACAUUAUAUUAAUAUUAGCAUGUUAACAUUUUAUAUUAGACGUUAACAGAAUAAACGUUAUCAUGUUAAUUAUUGUUAGCAUGUUAACAAGAAGAUUUCUGGUAAUGAAUAGUGUCAUCGGACGUUUAUGGACAAUGUUACCCGUUUGUGGAUGAACAGUAUUUCCAAUAUAAUCUAUCAGAAAAAAAAAAAUUAAAUCAUUGGCAAUUUUAUAAAUAAACAAAAUAAGAAGGAUAGAAUUGGAUAAAACAAUAUAUUCUUUUUGCUAGUUACCUAAUUAUCAAUUUAUCGAUGCUAUAAACUUAAUUUUUUUUAUGAACCAUUGAUAUACAAUAAAUUCACUCUUGCUUCAAUAUAACAUAAAGAAGGGACAUGUUUCUUUCUUCAACCUUUAUUUUACUCUCUAGCCUAAGCCAGUGGUCCUCUCCUUGGCGGCUAUAAAAAAACAAACUUUUAAGAGCCGCCAACGACUUCAUACAAAGACCUUUGAAACAAACAAGCCAGUAGUUUCCAGUACAGUUCUCAUACAAAUUCCUCUGAAUUUUACUCUCCUCUUUAAGCAUUUCGCUUCUAUAUAUACACAAGGAAGCUUGUUUCCUCAACCACUGCUAUACUUUCUUUAAACGCUCUCUUUUGCUGGAUUUCUCUCAUGGCUUCUUCUUCUUCUUCUUCUUCUUCUUCUCAUUUUUCGUCUGAGGUUAAGAGUCUCCAUGUAUUUCCGAGCUUCCACGGCCCAGAUGUUCGUAGAGGAUUCCUCAGUCAUUUACACGAUCUCUUUGCAAGGAAAGAGAUCACGAUUUUCAAGGAUCAGGAGAUCGAGAGAGGCCAUACGAUCGGAUCUGAACUCGUGAAAGCCAUUAGAGAAGCGAGACUGUCCAUCGUUUUGCUCUCCAAGAACUACGCUUCUUCGAGCUGGUGUUUGGACGAACUGGUGGAAAUCUUGAAGUGCAGAGAAGCUCAGGGGCAGAUUGUGAUGCCCAUUUUCUACGAUGUUGAUCCGUCCAGUGUACGCAAACAGAGCGGAGACUUCGGGAUCGCUUUUGAGAAAACCUGUGAAGGUGAAACAGAGGAAGUGAAACAGAGAUGGGUCGAAGCUUUGACAUGUGUAGCAACCAUAGCUGGAGAACACUCUCGUAACUGGUUUGUUUUUGAGCUCAAUGAACCUGCAGAAAUCCUUUUUUAAUUAUCUUUCGUUUAAGAUUUUGUUUUUUUUUUUCAGGACUGAUGAAGCUGCUAUGGUGGAAAAGCUUUCCACAGACGUCUCGAACAAACUGAGAUUGGAAGAGAUUAAGAAAGAGUUUAGGGAAUGCGAUGUGGACCAGAAUGGUUUCAUAACUGCAGCAGAGCUUCGAUAUGUGUUGACAAAAGAUGGGGGUGAAUUUACUGAUGAGCAAGUUCGUGAUAUCAUUCGAGUAGCUGAUGUUGAUGGCGAUGGUCAGAUCAACUAUGAUGAAUUUGCCAAAUUCAGGACUCUUGUGUGAGGGUUUCUUAAAAGCCAAGAAAACAAAAAGUGUCUUACAGUGAAAUCUUAUUGCAAUCUAAUAAAAAUAAGUUUUUUUUUUUUUCGUUUGUUAGGAUGGCUGAUGAAGAUGCUGCGAGCGAAAAGCUUUCUACAGAUAUCUUGAACAAACUGAGAGUGGAAGAUAUGAAGGAAGAAUUUAGGAAAUACGAUGUAGACAAGAAUGGUUUCAUAACUGAAGCAGAGCUUCGAUAUGUGAUGACAAAAGAUGGGGGGAAAGUAACCGAUGAAGAAGUUGAUGAGAUAAUCCGAAAAGCUGACGUUGAUGGCGAUGGUCAGAUCAACUAUGAUGAAUUUGCCAAAUUUACCAUAGCUAAGUGAGGCAUUCUUAAUUAAAUCUUUUUUUUAAAAAAAAAAAAACCUUAAUUAACCUGAAGGAAAAAAGAAGAAGGAAAAAGUGUGUCUUACAUUGAAUUUUCAUCAUGAUUUAAUUAGAACGCUUUUGUGUCUUUUUAAUUUUUGUAGGGAGGCUGAUGAAGAAGCUGCGAUGGUUCGAAAGUUUGCCACAGAUGUUACACUGUCGAGGGAGGAAGAGAAAGAAAUUAAGGAAUUAUUUACGGGUUUAGAUGUAGACCAGAAUGGUUUCAUAACUGCAGCAGAGUUUCAAUAUGUGAUGAAAAAUAGUGGGAGCAAACUAACCGAUAAGGAAAUUCGUAAUUUCUUCCGAAGAGCUGAUGUUGAUGGCGAUGGUCAUCUCAACUACGAUGAAUUCGUCAAAGUCAUGACGGCUGAGUGAGACAUUCUUAACCCUUUAUAGAUAAAGCCUUUGUUUAUAAUGUAAAACGGCUUUGUCUUUUUUUUUAAAAAUCGAUGAUUCAGUCGUGGAGUUUCUAUAAUCUUAUAAGAUUCUGUUUUUUUUUUUUCUUUUUUGUUAGAAGGAGGAGGGCUGAUGAGGAAGCUGCGAGGGUCGAAAAGACUGCAACAGAUGUCUUGAACAAAGUGAAUAAAUUCGUCAAAUUCAUGGUGAAAGCUUUAUCUUGAAGAAAAAAGAAUAACGAUUUACGAAUGUCUAAGUAAAUUUUCAUCAUGACUUGAACCUGGCUGUCUUCUUUAGGACAUGUUUUUACUUCUUUAAUUUCCACCUUCUAUUUGGUUGCUUUGUUAAGCUCUUCAAUUAAUGUUAUGUCAAGUAUGAACUCAUGUUUUGCCCAUCUUGUGACACUUGAUUUUCUCUCUUUGUUUUAUUUGUUUCUAUAUUUCUCUUGUUUUUUUUCUUCAAUAUAAUGUACUACAAAUUGGCCGCCAAGACGUCUAGGGUAGUUGAAAAAUACUCAAACGACACAAGUUUAACCGGUAAAAAUUUGGUCAAAGAAAAAGGUCAACGUUCGAUUAGUCUCUCACAAAUCACAAGAAGAAAGAUUCCUGAUCUUUAUCGCAAGAGGAAGCAAGAGACUGUAUUUUAAAACGAGAUCUCGUUUUAAAACUAAACUAAAUUCUAAUUCCGUGCGUUUGCACAAGAAAUUUUCUUUGUUUAACGAAUUUCGUAAUAUAAUUUACGUUUUUUGAGUUUAGAUAUAAUUAUUUUUAUAGAUAAAUUCUUUUAAUAAAUAAAAAUAUUUAUUUUUUAAUUUAGAUAUAAUUUGCUUUUUGUAAAUUUUUUUAUAAUAUCAAAGAUAAUUGUGAUUAUUAAAAAUAUAAUUUUACCAUGUCCAUUCAUAUUAAUCUCAAAAAACUAUGAUUAUAAAAUUAUAAUUUUAACUUGUCCGUUCAUAUUACUUUAUAUUAUAAAUAUUUAUUAAAAUUUGUAUUUUAUUUUAUAAAUAGUAUUUCAACAGUAUUUUAUUUAUCAUGAAAUAUUUUAUAAAUAGUUUUCUAAAUUUAAUCUAUAAUAAAUGUAUGUAAUAAUUUUUAAUUUAUUUUUUAUGUUUUUCAUUUUGUAUAAAAAUAUAUUUUGGUUUAUAUUUAUGAUUUAAAAUUAGUGAUUUUAGCUACCAAAAUAUUUUUAACUCGGUUUUUAUAUAUAUUUUUAGUUCUAUGAAUUAUAAAUAUGAUUUAUAUUGGAUUGUUUUGGGAAGCAAUGAUGGUUCUUGCAAAAUCUGGGAUGCCAAAGAAAGAACUUGCUUCAAGACUCCGAUUGAUAAUAAAUCUCAUGAUGUUUCCUUCGCCAAAUUCUCUCCUAAUGGGAAAUUCAUCCUUGUUGCCACUCUUGAUAGUACCCUCGUAAGUUGAAAAAUUCAGUUCCAAAUUUUGUAAUGUUAAAUUUGGUUUGAAUGAUCGCUUAGGCUAUGAACACACGAAAAGUAAAGAAUCUAACUCCUUGUUGGAUUAAUCUGUGAUAAAUUCUGAAUAUGAAUUGAAGAAUGUAGAGUUUUGGUUUGAAAGAUCACUUAGGUUCUGAAAUUUUACAUGAUUUAGAUUCAAACUGUUAUGGUUUUGUCUUUGAUGGGUUCUUGCAUUAGUCUUCUAUGUUUGAUCUUGAUCAUGAUUUAGAAGUUGUGGUCGACAGUAGCAGGAAACAAACAAAAAUUAACCAUAGAACUUAUGAUAUGCAGCUCUUCUCAUGAACUUUUGAUUGACAGUAGCUCUUCUUGUAGAUAUUUCAUUCUCUAAGAAAAGAAAAAAAAGGUGGCACGAAUGAUUAAAUCUUGAUCUAGAGAGAUUGUGCCAAGAAACCAGCUGAGGCGUUAUUUUUGAUGGAAUGACCUUUAUAUGGUUAAAAUUUUAGGAAAUCUUUAUAAACAUUUAUGAAGAUUUCCCUAAAAGUUCAGAAAGACAUCCUAACUCUUUUAAAAAUGUCAGAUAUAUUUUAUUAAACAUUAGUAAAGCUUGUAAACCUACAUUGAGUGGAAUUUCCUAAUCAUUUAGCAACCAUUCACAAACCCGUGUAUCUUCUAUGGUCUAUGCAUCACUUCUCUUGAAACUAUUUGUGUUUUUUUUUUUUCUUUUUUGGGGUCAUCAGGUUUUAUAGCUGAGAGCCUCUCGGAAGAAGAGAUUGCUGGUUUAAGAUAAUUGUUUCAGGCAAUGGAUAUUGAUAACAGCGGCGCUAUUAAGUUUGAUGAACUCAAAACUAGGCUGAGGAAAUAUGGAUCAACCUUGAAAGACACAGAGAUCCAUUAUCUCAUGGAAGCGGUAAAAUCUAAUCUCAUUUGGCUACAAAAUGAAAGUUAAUUAUUGUGUGCUUUCAGUGACGAGCUCUUGUAUUGGCCAGGCUGAUGUGGAAAACAGUAGGACAAUUGAUUACAGUGAGUUCAUUGCAGCUACUAGCCAUAUAAACUAACUGGAGCAGGAAGAACAUCUUGUCGCUAGGUUUUAAUACUUUGACAGACGGAAGCGCUUCCUAAAACAUUAGGAAAAACUUUGUAAACCUUUUUAAUAUUAAUGGUUUCUCUAAACUCUUAAGAAAUAUUCAUAUAUAAUUCAUAAAUUUUUGAAAAAAACUUUCAUAAAUCCUUUUAGUUAGACUUUUUAUCAUUUAGGAAAGCGUUCCGAAAAGUUUAAAAUGGCUUCCUAAAUCAUUAGAAAUGCUCUGCAAACCUAUUAGUGUUUCUAGAGGGUUUGAAACUCUUAGGAAACAUAUAUAAACCCUUCAUAAAAUUCGUAAUAAGAAUUUCUUAACAUUUAGAAAAGCAUUCCUAAAAAUUUAUAAAAGCUUUCUAAAACGUUGAAAAGCUUCUUAGAGCACUAGAAAUGCUUUGUAAAUCUUUUGAAAUUUCGAGGGUUUAAAAACAUCUUAAGAAAACUCCUUGAGAAACCCUUGAAAAAAACAUUCUUCAAAAUUUAGGUGGUCAUUUUCUUGUUUCUUGAUUAUGAAAUAAGACAUUGCUAAAUUUGUAUGAACCUUUUCCAAUAUUUAUAGAUGCUUCCUAAAUUUAGAGUUUCCGAAAGCCUUCUUACUUUUUAGGAAUCAUUUUUACAAAUUUAAGAAUGUCCUCCUAAAUCGUAUAUUAACCAAUUCAUAUUAAGUUCACAUAUUAGGAUCAGAAGACAUUCUUCUGAUUAGCUAAACAAAUAUUGUUUGAAGCUUGGGGAAUACGGGCUUCGGGCCCAGAACCUCUCGGUAAUCUAAAAAAAAAAUGUAGAUAUAUUGUUUGAAUAAACACAAAAGAGAAUCAUGCGAUGAAGAGGAUGGGACUACGAGCAGUCGAGCAAGAUUCAAUUUGCAUUCAGCUGCGAGGAAAAUAACAUGAUACUUGAGUUGCGGAGUACAGACUUUUGAGUAGUGGAAGCAGCAAGUAUUAUGUCAUUUUCAAACGAAUUAAAAGUCGGUUUAGUUAUCAAACCAAAUUUACAAUUGGAAGGGGGUUUAGAAUCAUAAUUUGAAUCUUUUCACGGUGGUGGUGGUGGGGGGGGGGGGGGGGGGGUUUAGAACCCUCAUUUUGAAUCUACCUAGUUAGUCUUCUUCUAAUUUAUCUCCUGUCGGAUUCUGAUAUUUUUAUCUCUGAGCUCAAUUUACAAAUUCAUAUUCCGGUUUACAAAAUAAAAACAAGCCAGUGGUCAAAUGUCUUUGGUCUUUAAGCAUUUUGCUUUCAGAUGUAUAAAGAAGGGAUUUGUUUCUUCCUCCAGGCUCCAUAGAUAUCUUAUCCAAAGCCACUGUGAUAGAUACUUUCUUCAACCUCUCUGUUUACUCUCUCUCUCUCUCUCUCUCUCAGUCUCUAGUCAAAGCCAGUGGUCCUCUCCUCGGCGGCUAUAAAAACAAAAGAAAACAAACUUUUGAAACAAGCCAGUAGUUUCCAGUACAGUUCUCAUACGAAAAUUCCUUUGAAUUUUCCUCUCCUCUUUACCCGUUUGGCUUAUAUAGAUGAACUAAGAAAGCUUGUUUCCUCAAACCACUGCUAUACUUUCUUCAAACUCUCUUUUGCUCUAUCUCUCUCAUGGCUUCUUCUUCUCCUGCUUCUCCUUGUGCUUAUAUUAAGAGAUACGAUGUCUUUCCAAGCUUCAACGGGCCAGAUGUUCGUAAAGGACUCCUCAGUCAUUUACACGAUCACUUUUUAAGGAAGGAAAUCAAAAUGUACAAGGAUGAUAAGAUGGAGAGAUGCAAUACGAUCAAACAUGAACUCGUGAAAGCGAUUAGAGAAUCGAGGGUCUUGAUGGUUUUGCUCUCGAAGAACUACGCUUCUUCCAUCUGGUGUUUGGACGAACUGGUGGAAAUCUUGAAGUGCAGAAAAGAUAAGGAACAGAUUGUGAUGCCUAUUUUCUACGACGUUGAUCCGUUCCAUGUACGCACACAGAGCGGUGACUUCGGGAGCGCUUUCGAGAAAACCUGCGAAAACCAAACAGAGGAAGUGAAGCAGAGAUGGGUCGAAGCUUUGAAAUGUGUAACGACCAUAGCUGGAGAACACUCUUGUAACUGGUUUGUUUUUGUGCUCAAUGAACCUGCAAGAAUCCUUUUUAUCUUUCGUUUAAGAUUUUGUUUUUUUCCAGGCCUGAUGAAGCUGCGAUGGUCCAAAAGCUUUGCACAGAUGUCUUGUACAAACUGAGAGUGGAAGCUAUUAAGGACGAAUUUAGGAAGUACGAUGU